rnacentral:lncRNA from 1 species
CCUAAGCUAAGUGGUGGAACAAUGAUCAUCAAGCCAGCCACCCAACAGCAGAGAACUAAUAAGGGAUUCUGUGCUGCGGAGAUCAUUACGGAAGCAACAGUAGCAGGUGGCCUGGCCAUACAGGGAUUCCUUACUCGCAGCAGAGAAUGUUGCUGCCACUCAAAGUCACCAGGGGCUGAAGAGCUCCUGUGGAGACCCACAUCAUCUAACAACACACAUACUCAAAACAGGGAAAUGUGCAUUUUCGGGAGAGGAAGAGACAAACCUUUUGUUUAGCUAACUGGCAUGACAGAGUGUGACAUACAUGUGCUCCUGGAAGAACGGUGUUGGGUGUCUGCACUCAAAAUCUUGAGCAUAGGCAACUGGAUGAAGGGCUCUGUGGCAUUGAUUUUCAUUGUGUGUGUGUUAAUAUUUACAUUUAUAAUUAAAUAAAUAAUCGAAAUUAUGCUGAACUGAAAAAAGAU